rnacentral:rRNA from 1 species
UACGGGGGGGGUAAGCGUUGUUCGGAAUUACUGGGCGUAAAGGGCUCGUAGGCGGCCAACUAAGUCAUACGUGAAAUCCCUCAGCUUAACUGGGGAACUGCGUGUGAUACUGGAUGGCUUGGAUUUGGGAGAGGGAUGCGGAAUUCCAGGUGUAGCGGUGAAAUGCGUAGAUAUCUGGAGGAACACCGGUGGCGAAGGCGGCAUCCUGGACCAAUAUUGACGCUGAGGAGCGAAAGCUAGGGGAGCGAACAGG